AGAGUGGAUUGGUGCCUUCGGGAACUCAGACACAGGUGCUGCAUGGCUGUCGUCAGCUCGUGUCGUGAGAUGUUGGGUUAAGUCCCGCAACGAGCGCAACCCUUGCCAUUAGUUGCUACGAAAGGGCACUCUAAUGGGACUGCCGGUGACAAACCGGAGGAAGGUGGGGAUGACGUCAAGUCCUUAUGGCCCUUAUAGGUGGGGCUACACACGUCAUACAAUGGAUGGUACAAAGGGUCGCCAACCCGCGAGGGGGAGCCAAUCCCAUAAAGCCAUUCGUAGUCCGGAUCGCAGUCUGCAACUCGACUGCGUGAAGUCGGAAUCGCUAGUAAUCGUGGAUCAGAAUGUCACGGUGAAUACGUUCCCGGGUCUU
rnacentral:rRNA from 1 species